GUAAGCAAGGGCAGGACCCAAGCCAGCUUCUCAGGGCGGGGCAGCCCAUGAGUUAGUCAUCUCAACAAAGCAGCCGCAAACGCUGGUCAUGCCACCCGGUGGGGGGGCUGGGGGUGAGUCUGAGGGCUUCUCCAGGAGCUGGAGCCAGCGCAAUUGCCUGUCCGGUUGGCCCAGUUAGGAGUUGCUUGUGAAGCACCUUAGGCUGAAAUCAGCCAGGAGCUGGAGACUGCCUCUGCAGGGCUGGGGCAGACUGUCUGGAAAGCUCCCAGAAGCUGAAAGGGGGCCGGGCAGCCAGGGCAGCAGAGAUGGUCAGGAGGUGCCGGGGUUCCCCACGGGGCUGAUGGGGGCUGAAGAUGGCAGUCUCACUCACUGCUGUACCCCCCAGCUCCCGGAACAGAGGCAGGAGGAUCUUAGGCACCUAACUGGGGAGCAGAGUCGAAUGCACGCUGUAUGGUCAGGCCACCCAGGAUGGUUGCUGUCUGGCUCUCCGAACAUCCCUGGCUUGACCCGUCCCUGCUUCUCCUACCCCUGCUCACAUGGCUGACUUUCCUCUCACUCACAGAGCCUAAUCUGUCCACGCCUACAUACUUGUCUCCUGGCCCAGUUAGUGGCUGUCCUAAUCUUCAGAUCAGAACAUCUCCACCAUCACUGAACAAAGAAACUGAGGCUCAGAAAGGGGAAAUGCCCCUGGCAAAGGGCAUGCGGGGCGUGAUCCUCUGCUGGUUUCUGGGUCACCGGUGAGCCAUCCUGACAUCAGCUCCCCACUAACUAGGAACCUCUCCCUCUCAAUCCGUGGGGAGCGAGACUGCAGCAGGUACUGCCUGCCGUCAGCCGCACACAGCGGGGCGCUGCUCCAGGAUCCUGCUUCAGACGUCUGAGAUCGCCCAUCUAUUAAGCCAUCAAUGUUUGUCACUGACUCUGGGCUCUUUCUCUGGUCUUGAGGCUGGGCUGGUACAGGGCUUCCCAGCCUGUGGGGUGCAGCCCAGCACGCGCCACGACUCUGUUGGAUGGUCUGGUUUAACCACCAAGCGGGUGUGCCCAUAGGAAGCAGUGGUCCCGGAAUCCACAGAAGUGGGUCAAACCCUAGCACCCUACUUACCGGCUCUGUGGGGCCGUGAGCAAGGCAUUGCCCUUUCUGAGCCUCAGUUUCUUCAUCAGCAAGACAAGGAUUGCAGUGUCAGCCUUGAGGGUGGCUAGGAGAUGGUGAAGGGAUUCAGAAGUGGCGGCUGUCGUCAUCUUCCACGCAUCUGGGGUGACAUCCGGAGCUCUGAGUUAGGACCGUGGGACUGGGCUGGUGGGCAUGGAGUGUCUGCCGAACCCCGCAUUAUGAAGUCUUGGGGAGGUGUGGUAGCUGCAGUCGGAUGGACCCAGAAGCCAUCGCUUGCUUGCUGUGUGACCUUGGGUGGGUUGCCUACCUUGCUGUGCCUAAGUUCCUCAUGUGAAAAAAAGGGGACCUUGAAAGCAGCUAUUCCAGAGCAUUCUUGCAAGAGUAAUUGGGGUCAUAUGUGAAAGGCACAGGGCCUGGCAUAGCUCGGUAAAGG
ensembl:lncRNA